rnacentral:rRNA from 1 species
CCUACGGGAGACAGCAGUGAGGAAUAUUGGUCAAUGGACGAGAGUCUGAACCAGCCAAGCAGCGUGAAGGAUGACUGCUCUAUGGGUUGUAAACUUCUUUUAUAUGGGAAUAAAAUGUUACACGUGUGGGGUUUUGUAUGUAUCAUAUGAAUAAGGAUCGGCUAACUCCGUGCCAGCAGCCGCGGUAAUACGGAGGAUUCGAGCGUUAUCCGGAUUUAUUGGGUUUAAAGGGUGCGUAGGUGGAUUGUUAAGUCAGUUGUGAAAGCUUGCGGCUCAACCCUAGAAUUGCAUGUGAAACUGGCAGUCUUGAGUACAGUAGAGGUAGGCGGAAUGCGUGGUGUAGCGGUGAAAUGCUUAGAGAUCACACAGAACUCCGAUUGCGAAGGCAGCUCACUAAACUGCAACUGACGCUGAGGCUCGAAAGUGUGGGUAUCAAACAGGAUUAGAUACCCUGGUAGUC